UGAGAGCCCUAAAAGUCCUUAAGCACAUAGGUCUGGUCCUAGCCUUGUAAUCAACUUUUACUUAAUUACACAUGCAAGCCUCCCCGCCCCGGUGAAAACGCCCUUAUAACCCUUCAGGGUUAAAGAGCCGACAUUAGGCACAACAGCCCGCCCAAAAUAUCUAGCCUCGCCACACCCACACGGGUCUUCAGCAGUGAUUAAUAUUGAAUAUAAGCGCCAGCUCGAUUCAGUUAAAGUAAACAGAGCCGGCCAAUUUGGUGCCAGCCGCCGCGGUUACACCACUUGGCUCACAUUGAUUUCUCCCGGCGUAAAACGUGAUAAAAAGACACUGCAGACUAGAACUAAACUUUUAUUAAGCUGUAGCACGCUUAUACCCAAGAAUACCAUUAACGUAAGUUGUUCUAAUUAAACCCACUUGACCUCACAAUAACUAAAACACAAACUGGGAUUAGAUACCCCACUAUGUUUAGUCGUAAACUUUAAUUUACAGCCCCCUCUCGCCAGGGAACUACGAGCAAUGCUUAAAACCCAAAGGACUUGACGGUACCCCACAUCCCCCUAGAGGAGCCUGUCCCAUAAUCGAUACCCCCCGUUCAACCACACCACUUUUAGUCUUUCAGCCUGUAUACUUCCGUCGUCAGUCCACCUCGUGAGCGCAAACCAGUGGACUAAAUGCUCCCUCAUCAAUACGUCAGGUCAAAGUGCAGCAAAUAAAGUGGGGAGAGAUGGGCUACACUUUCUAUUUUAGAAAAAACGGAAGGCCAGCAUGAAACUGCAGCCAGAAGGCGGAUUUAGUAGUAAAGAUGGAUUAGAAAGCCCCUUAAACCCGGCACUGGGUUGUGUACACACCGCCGUCGCCUCUUCAACCCAAACCCAGUACUUAACAAUAAAAACAGAGAAGAGGUAAGUCGUACAUGGUAAGUAUACCGGAAGG
rnacentral:ncRNA from 1 species